rnacentral:rRNA from 1 species
GAUGAACGCUGGCGGCGUGCCUAAUACAUGCAAGUCGAGCGAACAGACGAGGAGCUUGCUCCUCUGACGUUAGCGGCGGACGGGUGAGUAACACGUGGAUAACCUACCUAUAAGACUGGGAUAACUUCGGGAAACCGGAGCUAAUACCGGAUAAUAUAUUGAACCGCAUGGUUCAAUAGUUAAAGACGGUUUUGCUGUCACUUAUAGAUGGAUCCGCGCCGCAUUAGCUAGUUGGUAAGGUAACGGCUUACCAAGGCGACGAUGCGUAGCCGACCUGAGAGGGUGAUCGGCCACACUGGAACUGAGACACGGUCCAGACCCCUACGGGAGGCAGCAGUAGGGAAUCUUCCGCAAUGGGCGAAAGCCUGACGGAGCAACGCCGCGUGAGUGAUGAAGGUCUUCGGAUCGUAAAACUCUGUUAUUAGGGAAGAACAAAUGUGUAAGUAACUAUGCACGUCUUGACGGUACCUAAUCAGAAAGCCACGGCUAACUACGUG